UACGUAGGCAGCAAGCGUUGUUCGGAGUUACUGGGCGUAAAGGGUGCGUAGGCGGCCUUAUAAGUAUGGUGUGAAAUCUCCCGGCUUAACUGGGAGGGUGCGCUAUAGACUGUGGGGCUAGAGUGUGGGAGAGGAAAGUGGAAUUCCUGGUGUAGCGGUGAAAUGCGUAGAUAUCAGGAGGAACACCGGUGGUGUAAACGGCUUUCUGGACCAUUGCUGACGCUGGAGACACGAAAGCGUGGGUAGCAAACAGG
rnacentral:rRNA from 1 species